GACGAACGCUGGCGGCGUGCUAAUACAUGCAAGUCGAGCGGAGUUUAUCGGGAGCUUGCUCGUGAUAAACUUAGCGGCGGACGGGUGAGUAACACGUAGGCAACCUGCCCGUAAGACUGGGAUAACUACCGGAAACGGUAGCUAAUACCGGAUACGCAAGUCUCUCGCAUGAGGGGCUUGGGAAAGGCGGAGCAAUCUGUCACUUACGGAUGGGCCUGCGGCGCAUUAGCUAGUUGGUGGGGUAACGGCUCACCAAGGCGACGAUGCGUAGCCGACCUGAGAGGGUGAACGGCCACACUGGGACUGAGACACGGCCCAGACUCCUACGGGAGGCAGCAGUAGGGAAUCUUCCGCAAUGGACGAAAGUCUGACGGAGCAACGCCGCGUGAGUGAUGAAGGUUUUCGGAUCGUAAAGCUCUGUUGCCAGGGAAGAACGUCCGUUAGAGUAACUGCUAACGGAGUGACGGUACCUGAGAAGAAAGCCCCGGCUAACUACGUG
rnacentral:rRNA from 1 species